AUGGACUCCGGCGAGCAGGGUGAGACCUCCAAGGCCCCCCUGAGCAGGGGGGUCAGUAGAGGAGUGUCCAUACUGGACCUCAUACUUCGCGUCAUUGCGGUCAUCAGCACCCUCGCGAGCGCCAUUGCCAUGGGGACUACCAAUGAGACGCUUCCUCUGUUCACGCCGUUCAUCCAGUUCAAGGCCCGAUACAGCGAUCUCCCGGCUCUCACGUUCUUCGUGGUGGCAAAUUCUGUUGUGAGCGCCUAUCUCAUCCUUUCGCUCCCAGUGUCAAUUGCGCACAUAAUUAGGAGCGGGGCUAAAUAUAGCAGGCUGGUCUUGAUCAUUUUUGACGCGGCAAUGCUAGCUCUGGUCACCGCAGCGUCAUCUGCAGCAACAGCUAUUGUCUACUUGGCACACAAGGGCAAUGUCAGGGCAAACUGGCUUGCUAUUUGCCAGCAAUUGGAUUCUUUCUGCGAGCGUAUCUCUGGCUCCCUGGUUGGCUCGUUUGGAGCCAUGGUUUUGCUGAUACUGCUCAUCAUACUCUCAGCCAUUGCCCUGGCCAGGCGCUAG
rnacentral:rRNA from 1 species